rnacentral:piRNA from 1 species
UUCACUCAGCUGGACUGCAUUGAAGGCGA